CCUACGGGAGACAGCAGUGGGGGAUAUUGCACAAUGGGGGGAACCCUGAUGCAGCGACGCCGCGUGGGUGAAGGAGUGCUUCGGCAUGUAAAGCCCUAUCGGCAGGGAAGAAGCAAGACGGUACCUGACUAAGAAGCCCCGGCUAACUACGUGCCAGCAGCCGCGGGAAUACGUAGGGGGCGAGCGUUAUCCGGAUUCACUGGGUGUAAAGGGAGCGUAGACGGCCAUGCAAGCCAGGGGUGAAAGCCCGGGGCCCAACCCCGGGACUGCCCUUGGAACUGCAUGGCUGGAGUGCGGGAGGGGCAGGCGGAAUUCCUGGUGUAGCGGUGAAAUGCGUAGAUAUCAGGAGGAACACCGGCGGCGAAGGCGGCCUGCUGGACCGCGACUGACGUUGAGGCUCGAAAGCGUGGGGAGCAAACAGGAUUAGAUACCCGUGUAGUC
rnacentral:rRNA from 1 species